CACGCCCUAAACGAUGACGACUAGUUGUUGGGGGAGUUAAAUCCCUUAGUAACGCAGCUAACGCGUGAAGUCGUCCGCCUGGGGAGUACGGUCGCAAGAUUAAAACUCAAAGGAAUUGACGGGGGCCCGCACAAGCGGUGGAUGAUGUGGUUUAAUUCGAUGCAACGCGAAAAACCUUACCUACCCUUGACAUGUCAGGAAUCCUCCAGAAACGGAGGAGUGCCCGAAAGGGAGCCUGAACACAGGUGCUGCAUGGCUGUCGUCAGCUCGUCUCGAGAGAUGUUGGGGUCACGUCCACCAACCAGCAACUCCUCUCACAUGAUGU
rnacentral:rRNA from 1 species